rnacentral:ncRNA from 2 species
UUUCAAUAAGAGGGGUGCCUUAAUAAAACGGGCUGAGAUCAUACCCAUUAACCUGAUCCGGAUAAUGCCGGCGGAGGGAUAAAAUAGAAAAGUCCC